rnacentral:rRNA from 1 species
GUGCCAGCCGCCGCGGUAAUACGUAGGUCCCGAGCGUUGUCCGGAUUUAUUGGGCGUAAAGCGAGCGCAGGUGGUUUAAUAAGUCUGAUGUAAAAGGCAGUGGCUCAACCAUUGUGUGCAUUGGAAACUGUUAGACUUGAGUGCAGUAGAGGAGAGUGGAAUUCCAUGUGUAGCGGUGAAAUGCGUAGAUAUAUGGAGGAACACCGGUGGCGAAAGCGGCUCUCUGGACUGUAACUGACACUGAGGCUCGAAAGCGUGGGUAGCAAACAGGAUUAGAUACCCUGGUAGUCCACGCCGUAAACGAUGAGUGCUAGUUGUUUGGGGCUAUCCAGCCCUAAGUGACGCAGCAAACGCAUUAAGCACUCCGCCUGGGGAGUACGACCGCAAGGUUGAAACUCAAAGGAAUUGACGGGGGCCCGCACAAGCGGUGGAGCAUGUGGUUUAAUUCGAAGCAACGCGAAGAACCUUACCAGGUCUUGACAUACCAGUGCCAUUCUUAGAGAUAAGAAGUUACUUCGGUACACUGGAUACAGGUGGUGCAUGGUUGUCGUCAGCUCGUGUCGUGAGAUGUUGGGUUAAGUCCCGCAACGAGCGCAACCCCUAUUGUUAGUUGCCAUCAUUAAGUUGGGCACUCUAGCGAGACUGCCGGUAAUAAACCGGAGGAAGGUGGGGAUGACGUCAAAUCAUCAUGCCCCUUAUGACCUGGGCUACACACGUGCUACAAUGGUUGGUACAACGAGUCGCAAGCUAGUGAUAGCAAGCUAAUCUCUUAAAGCCAAUCUCAGUUCGGAUUGUAGGCUGCAACUCGCCUACAUGAAGUCGGAAUCGCUAGUAAUCGCGGAUCAGCACGCCGCGGUGAAUACGUUCCCGGGCCUUGUACACACCGCCCGU